GACAGAGGAUGCAAGCGUUAUCCGGAAUGAUUGGGCGUAAAGCGUCUGUAGGUGGCUUUUUAAGUCCGCCGUCAAAUCCCAGGGCUCAACCCUGGACAGGCGGUGGAAACUACCAAGCUGGAGUACGGUAGGGGCAGAGGGAAUUUCCGGUGGAGCGGUGAAAUGCGUGAGAGAGUACGGAAAGAACACCAACGGGCGAAAGCACUCUGCUGGGCCGACACUGACACUGAGAGACGAAAGCUAGGGGAGCGAAUGGG
rnacentral:rRNA from 1 species